rnacentral:rRNA from 1 species
UACGUAGGGUGCGAGCGUUAAUCGGACUUACUGGGCGUAAAGCGUGCGCAGGCGGCUUUGCAAGACAGAUGUGAAAUCCCCGGGCUCAACCUGGGAACUGCAUUUGUGACUGCAAGGCUAGAGUACGGCAGAGGGGGAUGGAAUUCCGCGUGUAGCAGUGAAAUGCGUAGAUAUGCGGAGGAACACCAAUGGCGAAGGCAAGCCCCUGGGCCUGUACUGACGCUCAUGCACGAAAGCGUGGGGAGCAAACAGG